AGAGUUUGAUCCUGGCUCAGGACGAACGCUGGCGGUGCGCCUUAUGCAUGCAAGUCGAGCGAAGCUUUUCAGUAGUUUACUACAGAAAAUGACUGAGCGGCGAACGGGUGAGUAACGCGUGAGCAACCUACCUUAGUUACAGGGAUAGCCCGAGGAAACUCGGAUUAAUACCUAAUACCGGAUAUUCUUAUUUAAUCACAUGAUUUUUUAAGGAAAGGUCAGCCGAACUAAGAUGGGCUCGCGUUCUAUCAGCUAGUUGGUAGGGUAACGGCCUACCAAGGCUACGACGGAUAGCUGGUCUGAGAGGACGAUCAGCCACACUGGGACUGAGACACGGCCCAGACUCCUACGGGAGGCUGCAGCAGGGAAUAUUGUGCAAUGAACGAAAGUUUGACACAGCGACACCGCGUGUGGGAUGACGGAUCUAGGUUUGUAAACCACUUUCAGGAGGGAAGAAAAUGACGGUACCUCCACAAGAAGCCCCGGCCAACUACGUGCCAGCAGCCGCGGUAAUACGUAGGGGGCGAGCGUUGUCCGGAUUUAUUGGGCGUAAAGAGCUCGUAGGCGGUUCAACAAGUCGGUCGUGAAAGUUCAGGGCUCAACCCUGAAAUGUCGAUCGAUACUGUUGUGACUAGGAUACGGUAGAGGUGAGUGGAAUUCCGAGUGUAGCGGUGAAAUGCGUAGAUAUUCGGAGGAACACCAAUUGCGAAGGCAGCUCACUGGGCCGCUAUCGACGCUGAGGAGCGAAAGCUAGGGGAGCAAACAGGAUUAGAUACCCUGGUAGUCCUAGCUGUAAACGAUGGAUACUAGAUGU
rnacentral:rRNA from 1 species